rnacentral:lncRNA from 1 species
GGAAUUGUGUCACUCCCAUUGAGCAGCUGUGGGGCCCUCUCCCACAUGGCCCAGGUCCACCACUCUGUCAAAGGUCGCACAGCCCAGACAAAAACAGGACACAGCAGUGUGUGAAUGAGCCGGGCUUUCUCCUUCCCUCCACGUAAUAGAAGGUGCCUGAGGUUGUUGAAACACAGUCCAUUUCUCCUGGGAAUGACAAGAAUUUGAGGGAUGCUGACUUUCAAGGAAUACUGCAUGACAGGCAUCAAGAUAAACCUGAUGAAGAAAACAUAGGCCAGAAUCUGGGAAUCGGGAGCAAAGUAAUACAGCUUCGGGGACAGGCACGUAAUGAGGUCAUGAUGUAGGAGACUCCCUGCAGGACUGGCGGCCCCUGUUCCCUGGGUUGUUCUGGCUCUUUCAGUGCAGGGACGCAAACACAGGAAGAGCCCCCAUGGCCCUCGCUGGGAAAGACGGGCUCACUCGUUGCACGUGAGCACUGCAGACCAACAGCAUCACAGAAAGGAGGCUCUCCUGCCGUACUUGUGACUCAUGUCUUAAAGAUACCCCAAGAGAAUUGAACAAAGCUCUAUCGUGAGAUCCUUCUGAGGAGAGAAUAAAAAGGAAAUAUGUAUUUUA